CCUACGGGCGGCUGCAGUCGAGAAUCAUUCACAAUGGGGGAAACCCUGAUGGUGCGACGCCGCGUGGGGGAAUGAAGGUCUUCGGAUUGUAAACCCCUGUCAUGUGGGAGCAAAUUAAAAAGAUAGUACCACAAGAGGAAGAGACGGGUAACUCUGUGCCAGCAGCCGCGGUAAUACAGAGGUCUCAAGCGUUGUUCGGAAUCACUGGGCGUAAAGCGUGCGUAGGCUGUUUCGUAAGUCGGGUGUGAAAGGCGCGGGCUCAACCCGCGGACGGCACAUGAUACUGCGAGACUAGAGUGAUGGAGGGGGAGCCGGAAUUCUCGGUGUAGCAGUGAAAUGCGUAGAUAUCGAGAGGAACACUCGUGGCGAAGGCGGGUUCCUGGACAUUAACUGACGCUGAGGCACGAAGGCCAGGGGAGCGAAAGGGAUUAGAUACCCCAGUAGUC
rnacentral:rRNA from 1 species